rnacentral:rRNA from 1 species
UACAAAAAGUGCAAGCAUCGUUCGGAAUCAUUGGGCGUAAAAAGCGUGUAGGCGGUUUGUUAAAUCAUGUGUGAAAUCCCUCGGCUCAACCGGGGAAAGACGCAUGAAACUGGCAAGCUAGAAUACCGAAGAAGAGGGUGGAAUUCCCGGUGUAGCGGUGAAAUGCGUAGAUAUCAGGAGGAACACCUGUAGCGAAAGCGGCCCCCUGGUCGAAUACUGACACUGAUACGCGAAAGCGUGGGGAGCAAACAAG